rnacentral:lncRNA from 1 species
AAAAAAAAAAAGAAAGAAAAGAAAAAGAAAAAAGCAGGGUACAGUGUUCCAUAAAAAGCCCUUUCUGAAACUGAACUAAUGUGAUGGCAAUGACUGAAACAAGAGAUGACUAAUCAAAAAAAGAUUCAUAGACAGGAGUCCUGAACUGUGUCUUGAAGAAGAUUCACGUGUUCAGAGAAUAUGGGAAAAAUCAGAAACAGAAGAGGCUAGACACAGAGAAAGAAUAUCUUUAAAGAGUUGAAAGAAAAUAACCUAUCAACCCAGAAUUCUAUAUCUAGUGAAAUUUGAGAAUGAAGGCAAAAUACAUACUGGUGGAUACCGUGUCAGGAAUGCCAUUGAACCAUGAAGAAUUACAGUAUGCAUUUCAUUCCCAAGAGAUUAAAAACUAUGUCUGAGUGGGAAGACACAGUUUAAUUUGCAAUCUGGAAGAAGUGUGGGAGACAAGACAAAAAAUGAUGUUCUUCAUUAUGGAUAUUGGAAACAUAAAUGACGUCUGAUAAAAAGUAAAAAUUGGAUUGCCACACUGAUUUAAUUAGUGACCACUAAAUGAGUUCCUUACGUCAGAAUUUUGCUUCUGAAUCUACACUUCCUGAGUCAUUCAUUUUGUGACUAUGCUGGUAUUUGGAAAGUUUGUGCUGCGUUUAUGAGCUGUAACACUCACUGCGAAAGUUUGCAGCUUUACUUCUGAAGCCAGCAAGACCACGAACCCGCAGGGAGGGACAGACAACUGGGAAUGGAAAGAAGGAACAACUCUGGGCGCUUUGUGAACUGUCACACUCACGGCGAAAGUUUGCAGCUUCACUCCUGAGGCCAGCGAGACAACAACCCCACUGGAGGGAACGAACAACUCCAGAUGCGCCACCUUUAGGAGCUGUAACACUCACCGCAAAGGUAUGCAACUUCACUCCUGAAGCCAGUGAGACUAUGAGCCCAACAAAAGGAAGAAACUCCGGACACAUCUGAACAUCUGAAGGAACAAACGCUGGACACACCAUCUUUAGGAACUGUUAACACUCACCACAAGGGUCUACGGCUUCAUUUUUGAAGUCAGCGAGACCAAGAACCCACCAAUUUCGAACACAGUAGGGCGGGAAUUAUGAGCUAUACUUUCUGUCACUUAGCAGUGAAGAGCCUGUCUUAAGACUAGUAAGUAGCAGGACUAGCACUCCCUCCCAGGUCUCUGAGCUCAUGUUCACUGCUAUUAUCUGUCACGUGUUCAGCGUCAGGGUUUUUUUCUCCUUUCCCAAGUAGCAAAGGCUUUUCACAAUUGUGUUGCAAAGACCACACCAGAAACAAGACAUACAAUACUUGGUAACAUUUUCUGCUUCACGGAUGGAGGACUACAGCAACAUGUGAGGUUUUCUGGCGUUUAAUUUCUUUGAAAAGGUCAAAACUGUUAAAAAGGAACUACUUACUACUGUAUUUUGCUAAAAAACAAACAUUGCAACAUUUCAGCUUUCAACUUAGAACAUAGGAACAUUGCCUCCUGCGAUUUUGAUUUUAGAUAACCAACUGCAAAUUCUGAUACAACUCCUGGCUGACCUUAUCAGUUUAUAUCUAGGGAUGUUCUAAUUAAGAAAAAAAUUGAAUUCAUUACUUUAUCAUACUUUUACACAACCAUAGAUUUCCCAACUUCCUACCACAGUAGGAGGCACUGUGGCAACGUAUCAAUAUAAACACACUAUGGAAAAUUCUAAACCAAACCUGAUGGGAAAUGCACAUCAUACUAUUUGGGCUAUGAAAAAAAAAAAACACAACCUUGAGGAAGUCUUUUCUGAUUUUAUUUUCACUGCACUUUACUAUAUGCUGGUAGAGUUUCAGUACAUGUGAGCGCUGAGGCCCUCAAAGUAAAAAUAUGGAGGUCUUGAGGUCAGACCAGCUAGCCUGCUGUCAAUUCAUUUCCUGUGCCAAGGUUACACUGAAGAUAGUUUUAAAGCUUUGAUGUAAACAGAGCAAGAUUAAAAAGAAAAUUUGAAGAAAACAAACUUUGAGGAAAAUAAAGACCAUAAUUAUUACAUUAAAAACUCUGCCCUUUGUGCCUUAAUAUGACAUAUCACAAAAAUGCCAUUUUAAUUGUUUUACCAUAUAUUUAAAUGUUUUGUAUUUGUUGUUAUUCCCAGCAGCUAACAAUAAGAAAAUAGCAACAUUAAGGUCAGUUUAUUGUUUACUAGAAAUCAUGAUUCUAAUGAGCUCUGAAGAAAAUGUUAGUCAUAAUUCUUUUGCAGUCUUGUAAAAUAAAUACUAAUGCGUAUGUAUAAAGUAUAUAUGAAG